rnacentral:rRNA from 1 species
AUUGAACGCUGGCGGCAGGCCUAACACAUGCAAGUCGAGCGGAUGAAGGGAGCUUGCUCCUGGAUUCAGCGGCGGACGGGUGAGUAAUGCCUAGGAAUCUGCCUGGUAGUGGGGGAUAACGUCCGGAAACGGGCGCUAAUACCGCAUACGUCCUGAGGGAGAAAGUGGGGGAUCUUCGGACCUCACGCUAUCAGAUGAGCCUAGGUCGGAUUAGCUAGUUGGUGGGGUAAAGGCCUACCAAGGCGACGAUCCGUAACUGGUCUGAGAGGAUGAUCAGUCACACUGGAAGUGAGACACGGUCCAGACGCCUACGGGAGGCAGCAGUGGGGAAUAUUGGACAAUGGGCGAAAGCCUGAUCCAGCCAUGACGCGUGUGUGAAGAAGGUCUUCGGAUUGUAAAGCACUUUAAGUUGGGAGGAAGGGCAGUAAGUUAAUACCUUGCUGUUUUGACGUUACCAACAGAAUAAGCACCGGCUAACUUCGUG